rnacentral:rRNA from 1 species
CCUACGGGAGGCAGCAGUGGGGAAUCUUCCGCAAUGGGCGAAAGCCUGACGGAGCAACGCCGCGUGAUCGAAUGAAGGCCUUCGGGUUGUAAAGAUCUGUUGACAGGGACGAAUAAGCCAUGCGAAUAGUUUGGUGUAAGACGGUACCUGUUCAGAAAGCUCAGGCUAACUACGUGCCAGCAGCCGCGGUAAUACGUAGGGAGCAAGCGUUGUCCGGAAUUACUGGGCGUAAAGGGCGCGUAGGUGGGUGCUUAAGUCAGGUGUGAAAACUCUGGGCUCAACAUGGAGACUGCACUUGAAACUGGGUAUCUUGAGGGCAGGAGAGGAAAGUGGAAUUCCUGGUGUAGCGGUGAAAUGCGUAGAGAUUAGAAAGAACACCAGUGGCGAAGGCGACUUACUAGACUGUAUCUGACGCUGAGGCGCGAAAGCGUGGGUAGCGAACGGGAUUAGAUACCCUAGUAGUC